AGGGAAAACAACUGCCUUCAAGGUUGUACUGAGAAAACAAAGCCGGCGGCCCAGUGACGGAUUCGAGAAGUUGGCGAUUUCCCGAAGAUUAAAAGAUAAUAACACUUCUAUUAUGAUCACUCAGCUGUAUUGAUCUCAUCAGGGAAGCCACCGCAGGUCUCAUAUGAGCAGAAUCUGUAGAAGGGGAAGCAACAAGACUGCAGGAGGCAGGCGUAAAUCAACACUUGUUGUAUACAAAGUUGGGCUCGAAUCGUCUCCCAGAAAGAACUGCCACUCUUCUCCUUGGAGAUCCUCCUUGACCAACCUAAGAAGAAUGCCUAAGGGAAAUGGGCUGACUGAAAUCUCAAGCCAAAGAUGGACAAGAGUGGGGCUUAUGACCGGUGAAAGCCUGGGCUCUUUCGCUUCUGCUGGAGUCCCUUGUGCAGCCACUGUUGGACUUCACGGGCUGUACUACGUUCCUGGCUCCCAUGAAGGUAGAAGUUUUCUAUACCACUUCCCCCUGCUACCUUCUGUGUAGCCUUGCUUCAGGUCGAAAGCAUACAGACAUGGACCCACAGUGCACAGAAACCUGUAGGGUCUUUUUGGUCCAGGCAGAGGAAUAGCAGGACACCUUGGUACAGCAGCCUGGGGCUUCCUUCCUCGUUUCUCCUUUCGUGGUUCUUGCAAAGGUGUGAAGCCCAGACGACCAGUUAGCUCGAAGCUCAGAAGAUGAGCUAGUUCCACCUCUGUCUUUGGAGAGCUCUCCUGAAGACUGGCACAGCUUGAACUAGAGGUUGCAUGAGGGCUCCAUGGUGCAUCCUCGCCAGCAGACCCAAGAGUAGAGUCGUCUUUGCCGUAGCUGUGAGAGCUGGAGCGACUAAAGCCACGGGAGUGCUUCCAGGGAUACACUUGGGCAUUCACAUCCAAGUGGUUUGGGACUUGCUUUCCUGUCAUGAGGACGACUCUUCUUCUAAGAGGCAAGAUGAAUUGCCUAUGAAGAGUGAGACCCUGAUGAAAUCUGAGAGGCCAAACUGUGGAGAUGGCCAAGCCUAGUCCUGAUGGAGCCUGAAUUGAGGUUAUGAUUACACCCUCUAAGCCAGAGGACCAGCUCCGAGGAACUUCCCUCAGGCUCCCACUGUGUCCACUUUGUUUCUCACUGCAGCAGUCUGAUUCAGCCAGAAUUUUGCCUCCUUGUCAACUCCAAACAUGGUUCCCAUAACCACCGUGAGGGCGCUUUAAAAAUGUGUCACAUUCUUACACGCGUUCUCGCAACCGGCCAGGAAGAACGCAACAAACCGGAA
rnacentral:lncRNA from 1 species